GGCGGAGCUGGGCUGAGGCCGCGAGCCGGACACUUCGCUCGCAGGGCGCUUCAGGCCAGCGCCCCUGCGUUUCCGGGGUGACCGGUGCGGAGGUCACGUGAGCCAAGGGCGCUCCUCGCCCCUUUCUUCCCGACCGAGUAUAAUGAAACCGCCUCCUGCGCCCUGCUGGGAAAGCGCCCCCAGGGCUCCGGCUGCUCAGGCAGGGAGAAGGGCGCCGGCUAUUGGGCAGGCCCGCGGGGGUGGCAGCUCCUCGCCGAGCCGGCCCUCCCCGCACCCGGAGCGGCCUGGGGCCCUGGGGGCUCAGUGGGAGAAAAGACUUCACUUUUGGAUUAGGAUCCAGAUUCCACGGAGAUUCUCCUCACGGUCGCAGGGAAAACGAAGUCCUCAGGGGAACAGCCCGGACGCCCCGGCGUUCUCCGCACCGUCCUGAGGCCUCUCACCACCAGCAAGACGCGAGAACGAUCCUUGUCUCUAAUUGAAAGGAGGAAGCGGCCCUGGGCCAGGCAGAUGACCCUGCUCGUCCUGGAGCAGAAUUUCUCAAAAACGGCGGCCUGUGGAUCGUCCACAUCGGAAUUGCGUGGAACCACGGUUUAAAAUCCGGUUUCUGCACCCCGCUCCGGGGCCACUGCAGGGCAAGAUGUGAAGGAUCGUCCGGCACUUCCAGAAGGUCCCAGAACUGAACUGGAAUAUCCGCAGCACAGAGGAGAGCUGGGAUCUCAUCACAUUGGCUGCCAGCCGGACUGCGCACACGACAGGCCACCAGCCCUCCAGGCUGCCGCUUCAGGGGUCACAGACGCUGCCCCUAGUCCGCAUCUAUGCAGGGUCUCAGGCCGCCGCCGCCGCGCCCCGCCGGCACCUGCAGUUACCGACACGGCCACCAGAGGGCCCAGCAGGACCACGAUUAUCUUCCGAAGCCCCGACGGCGCCUCCCGGGCCCCGUGCGCCCCGCAAA